GAUGAGCGCUGGCGGCGUGCUUAACACAUGCAAGUCGAACGGAGAUAUCUUUGACAGAGACUUCGGUCAAAGUCGUUGGUAUCUUAGUGGCGGACGGGUGAGUAACGCGUGGGUAACCUGCCUUAUACUGGGGGAUAACAGCCAGAAAUGGCUGCUAAUACCGCAUAAGCGCACAGUGCCGCAUGGCACAGUGUGAAAAACUCCGGUGGUAUAAGAUGGACCCGCGUUGGAUUAGCUAGUUGGCAGGGCAGCGGCCUACCAAGGCGACGAUCCAUAGCCGGCCUGAGAGGGUGAACGGGCCACAUUGGGACUGAGACACGGCCCAGACUCCUACGGGAGGCAGCAGUGGGGAAUAUUGCACAAUGGGGGAAACCCUGGGUGCAGCGACGCCGCGUGAA
rnacentral:rRNA from 1 species